CAAAAAAAAAAAAAAAAAGGCCUGCUACUCUUCUUAUAAUACAAGCCGCACUAUUAGAGCUACCCUUUAUUUUUUACAUAUUUCAUUUGACCAAAACGUCUAUAGGGGAAAGAAUUACUUUAAAAUCUAUGAAGCUUGCUGUUGCUCCCUGUGUGUGCUAUCGAACAAACCUAACGGGGGUGGUUCCCCUUUGAAGCACAAUACAAGAAUAUGCUUACGACAACUAUAAACAUAGUCUAUGGCCGCAGUCUUAAUCCACGUUCAGCAAGUGCCUUGUGCACCCGACGAGCAGCUUCUGCAGUGUCAUUAAGGGGAGGGUAGCUCCAGCUCUCUGAAAUAUCCUCAGAACCUGCAAAUGGCCGAACCACACCCUGCUCCCUCAAAGAUUUAUGAAAGUCAGACAGCUUCCAUGUACAACGCUCAGAUCCCAUGAUAUAGACAGGUUUCCCAGUGCUGCAUGCCUCACUUAUCAUACUGACUGAAUCUGCUGUAAUGACAAAUGCAUCUGCCCAAGCUAAAUGUCCCACAUGCGGAUUUGGCUCUAAAGAUAGGGUCAUUCAAAACUUAUAAAAAGGUGUCCUGGAUUAUUUAAACUUAACAAAAGUUUUAAACUAAAUGGAAGAUACCUUCACCAUUCCAGAUGUAAACUUUUGGAUUAUUUCCAAUCUUUUUGAUUACUAUGUUUGAAACCUGCAGGUGGAGUUACAAGAGGAAAACCAAAUAUAUGUGGAGUGAGUCCAGGCACUAUAAAAAAUGAUGAGAAAUAUGUGGUAAUACCUUUGCAGGUGUCCUAUUUGAGAAAGAUAUUCUGACACUCCCACAGCUAUCGAGCACACUAAGCAGAUUGGAAGUUAACUGCUUUGCAAGGUCAGUCCCAUAGCGACAGCAGCUUGUAGGUCCCCCGAUAUUAACCACCAGUAAAGGCUUUGGCAGAGGCGCAAACUCAUCAUGCCACAUGCUAGCUGCAACACGAAGCGCACCAAAAUCAAUUUGAUGCAAAGCUCCCAUGGUCAAAACCACAUGCCCAUCAGGAGGUUCACAUGGCGUUAUCCACUUCCGGAGAAACCGAGGAACCUGCUCUUGUGCUUGAGGAGUCAAAGGAUAAUAAUCAUGACGUGGAGUGAUCACCAGGUCAAACCUAUUCAAAUUUGACCUUGGAUGUUGUAUCUGAACAACAAAAACAUUUUCAGAUGCUAAACGUUUUAUAGAGCUUGCAAUGGAAAUAGUAUCUCUGCCAGAUGCAACGACCAACAAAGGGCCAUCCUGUUCAUAAGUCUCACGAGCCAUGUUCACUAUCUGCUUCACAUCAGCUUCUAAAACCGUUGAUAAACCCACACUAACACCAUUUUCCGAAGGUAAAGUAGCCAAUUUCUUCCCUCGAGCAGCUAAGAGAAGCCGCCAGUAAUUAUAUAAUUGCCUCAGAACAUAAUCUAACUUCUUGUGAAGAGAAACCGGUAGCCAGUGGAGCCACUCAUUGAUUCCACCUCUUGGUCUCGUAACUCGGUAAAAGGAGAGGUUAUCGGAGAGGCCGAGAGCGCGAAUCAAGCCGAUGCUCUGGUUCUCAGAACCAGGAAAGCCGUUGCCAAUAACGACAGCGCGCCUUAUGACGCUAUUGGCGCCACUCUCGAAGAUCUCCGGCACGCCCAUGGUGGGGCUGGGAGGUUCCGGAAGCCUGAUCGGCCUCAUGGAUUGGUUUUGGGUGGUACAAUACAAC
rnacentral:misc_RNA from 1 species